GCAGUGGGGGUUCAGAGGUAGAAUCCUCACCUUUCAUGUGAGAGACCCAGGUUUGAUUCCCACCCAGUGCA
rnacentral:tRNA from 1 species